UACGGGGGGGGCAAGCGUUGUUCGGAAUUACUGGGCGUAAAGGGCGCGUAGGCGGUUGGACAAGUCUCUCGUGAAAGCCCACGGCUCAACCGUGGAAUUGCGGGAGAUACUGUCUGUCUUGAGUCCGGGAGAGGAGGGUGGAAUUCCCAGUGUAGCGGUGAAAAGCGUAGAUAUUGGGAGGAACACCGGUGGCGAAGGCGGCUCUCUGGACCGGUACUGACGCUGAGGAGCGAAAGCUAGGGGAGCAAACGGG
rnacentral:rRNA from 1 species